CCCUUCAGGAAGCUCUUAUGUCAGCUUUAGGCAAUCUAAUGACCGGCCCAUCACUUUUAGAAUGAAUCUUAAUGACUGGGAAAUUGAAAGCUACAUUUAGUUGCUUCAACUUCUUAACACCGAUCCAUCUUUUGUCUUCAUACCUGACUAUGUCAAAUGGACUCGACUCCAAAUGACUUUUUUCAGUUAAAGGCUGUUACCUCUCACUUACUGUUCUUUCCCCUCCCAACAUCUCUU
rnacentral:lncRNA from 1 species